GGUUGUCCUGCCAUAAGUAGUAGAAAGUGCCCAGGAUCCAGGCUACGGUCAGGAUGGCGAUGGCAUUGGCGCGGAUCUUCCUCAUGCUCAGCGACCGAGCGCCCGCCGCCUGCCCCCGCGCGGCCCUAGUCGGUCCCGCCUACCUCCACGCACCCCCAGCCGGAGCGGCCCUGAGUCACGGCUGGAGAUGCGCGACCCCGGCCCGGGCCCGCGCCGCGAAGCUGCGGUUCUGGGCUGCGCUCGGAACUGCGCUCCGGCGCCGGGUUUAAGCAUGCAGGACUGAACCAUGCGUGUAAGAGAGGCUCAUUCCGUUUCUGUUGGAAUGAAGGAAAAUGAAGAAAGAAAAACCUAAUGAGUUCUUGCUGCAGAAGGAUCAUGGUCGCUACUGCAGUACCCUCUUCCUCAUUCCGAACAAGACCGCGAGGGUACGUCAACAAGUCCAGAAACAUCCACAUCGAGAAUAGGACCCUGGAAAGAGUGUACAAAGAGGGUCUCACAAAGACUAGCAGGGAAUCCGAGGCCCGAGGCAGGUGGAGGUCAAGAACAACAGGAGAUGCUAUGGAGAUGCCACUGGCCCUGGAGCCGUGGGCCAGCCUUGCUCUCCUGGGUGUCUCUUGCCUGGGAAGUUUAAUUAGACAGCUAGAGGGGCCAGGAUUCAUCUCCAUAGAGAAAACCACUGUCAAGCCAAGCCAUUCCUGGUUUCCUCAGGAAUCAUGAGGCUGAUCCAGGGGUCAUGCCCUCUGUAGGAAGCCAGGAAAAGCUUGCUGCCUAAGAGUCAAGCCCCACGGGCAUUCCCAAACCAUAAGAAAAUGUAAGGGAACUGCCCCCCUCGUGCCCCCACUUCCACACAGGCUCUUGGGUCAGCAGAGUGGAAAGACUUGGAGGAUGGCCCUCCCUUGCCACUGGCUGCUUCCCUCAGCCCAGCCUGGCCUGUGCCUAAUUGCCUUUAGUCUUGAGAAAACCAGGUGAGAGGAUGUGGGAUCCAAAGACAUUACAUCAACCCCUAGUGAGAAGCUCCAAACUCACGCCUAGGCAUGGGGGAUGAAGCUAGAAACUGCAGUCAGGCUGAUGGGGUUUCUGGUGGCUCUAGAAGGAGGGCUGUAUGAGGUGAGGGAGGGAAGGAAGAGGUGGAAUUUGGCAGGAUUUCCACAGGUCUCACCUCUUACUCCCCAGGGUUCAGUGGCGAGGAUGCUAUACUUCUGUAUCAGUUGUCACUCCCUGGUAGCUCUGUCUCUCUGGAAGAGAAGUCUGUCUGCGACCCCCCCCCCCCCAACACACACCCAUGUCACCACCACAAGAAAAACCCCACAGGGACAUAGCCUCUCUGAAUGACGUUAGACUUCAUAGCCAUCCCUCCCUCAGAUGGACACAGUAAACUUCCCGUGGCGGGGUAGGGGGUAAGGAGGCAGGUCACUACCAUGCUCAUUCAGCUGACAGAAAUCUGACCUAGGCAGAGGUUAAGCAAUGGGCCUGGAGCCACAGGCACAUUGGGAACUUGGGGCUGCCACCUCAGCUACAGCCCAAGGGAUUUGAAUCCUAAAUAGGUACAGAGCUGAAGCUCAGCCCUCCCCGAGAUGGAUCUCAGUGUUCAAUGAUGACAGGGGGCGUUGUUUCCUCCCUGGUCCUAGGAAUGGAGUCCCACAAAACCAGAGAAGCAAAGCAACACCUAAGAGACUUGGUGCUGCUCGGCACUCACUGAACCAGGGUGGUAAUAAUAGCUGAGGUUCACUGGGUACCCAGCAGGGGCCAGGUGCUGAACGGGCUCCCCACAUCCGCGAUCUCUGAAGCCCCGCAACCUGCAGACCCGGCCUUGGGGAUACUCUCGGUGGCAGUGGCCGAGAGCCACCCAGCAGGGAGGAGGCGGGGCUGGAUUCGAGUCUGUUCCCCCUGCCGGUAUCUGGUAUCUGGGCACCAGUACAGGGCUUCCAAGCACACUGGGCAGUCUGCAGGGUGGUCAGAAGUUCUGCAUGCAGGGAACUCCCCUCCCCACAGGAGCCUCCAUUUUCUCCUCUGGAAAAUGAGGGAUGCGGGGAGAUGACCUCCAAGGUCCCUCCAACUGUGCCCUUUAGGACCGCUAGUUCCUUGGGUAUUUUCUUCCAAAAUGUGGCACUGCUCCCCGCAUGGUUCUUCUCUUUCAAAGCUGUCAAAGCCAGCACUCAGGAGCCUCAACUGGGCAAAGCCAAGUGCUCCCCGUGCUCCCAGAGGCCCCGGGGAGCUCUCUGUCCCCGUGCAUUUGAUGUGUGGGUGGAUCAUAGAGGGGAGAAAGGCUGUGGAGUUCAGGCAAAACCCUGGCUCUGGACUUGGACAACCCGCAUUCAAAUGCUGGUUCUGUCCCUUAUUAGGAGAGUGGCUUGGGUGAAUUCUUACCCUCAGUUUCUUCACCUAUAAGGGGCAUUGACAGCCCUUAACUGACAGCACUGUUGGGAAAGGUAGGAAAUAAGGCACAGAAACUCCAGUGCUGGUAACCAUCCCCAUUCCAGACCCCCACCCCACCGCGCGCCUCUCACAGGCACUGCUGCUGGCUCCUGGCCAUGGGGCUCUAGAAAGGCCUGCCCAGGGCACAUGCAGGGGAAUGCUCACCAGGGCUGGGAAGGAGAACAGACCCUAGACAGGCCCAACAAGGAUAACUGUCUGCCACAUCGGGGCACGGCUGCCUGUGUCUCCACAGUCUGUGUUGAGCAGCCUGGAGGGGGCUGGGGAGAGGCAGCUGUGGGACCCCAGCUAUUGCUGGGUGUCCAUUCUUGCCAUCAUACCCAUUACCCUUGUGACUCGGUCAGCUUGGAAGCCUCUUGCCCUGUCUGCAGCUGCAGCAGGGACCCGGACGGUGGGUGAGGGGGACUUGUUAGACCACCAUGUCUGCUCUAAGCAGCAAAGGAGGCAGACAUGGUGAACAGAGCGUAUGUUACCAGGCAACAGGCACUGUGCCAAAGCAAGAUCUCAGAAUACUCACAAUGACCCUGUGAGGAAGGGGGAACCAGACCCUCUCCCUUGGACAGACAAAGGGGCUGGUGCCUGCAGGAGUCCCUCAGCCCCCACUGGGGGAUCAGUGGCACAAACAAUCCCCACAGCCAGCGGGCCGCACUGAAGGCACCACCUAAGGGAACAUUAUUUCUAAGCUAAGUUCCUUAUAAACCAUCAAGGAGAGGACCUGCCUCUUUGAAAGGAACUCCA